AACGAACGCUGGCGGCAGGCCUAACACAUGCAAGUCGAGCGAGGACUUCGGUUCUAGCGGCGGACGGGUGAGUAACGCGUGGGAAUGUGCCCUUCUCUACGGAAUAGCCCUGGGAAACUGGGAGUGAUACCGUAUACGCCCUAUUGGGGAAAGAUUUAUCGGAGAAGGAUCAGCCCGCGUUGGAUUAGGUAGUUGGUGGGGUAAUGGCCUACCAAGCCGACGAUCCAUAGCUGGUUUGAGAGGAUGAUCAGCCACACUGGGACUGAGACACGGCCCAGACUCCUACGGGAGGCAGCAGUGGGGAAUCUUAGACAAUGGGGGCAACCCUGAUCUAGCCAUGCCGCGUGAGUGAUGAAGGCCUUAGGGUUGUAAAGCUCUUUCAGCUGGGAAGAUAAUGACGGUACCAGCAGAAGAAGCCCCGGCUAACUCCGUG
rnacentral:rRNA from 1 species